AUAGCGUUUUGUUCACAAAUGCUAUUAUAAGUUAUAGGACGAGUUUAAGAUAGCGUUUGUAGUUUUGGAAACGCUAUUAAUACUCUUAACAGAUAAAAAUAUAAACAUGCGCCUAAUAAUUUGGGUUUCUAAGUAUUUAUAGCAUAGUUUUUAAUAGCAGAAUUAUCAGGAAACGCUAUUAAAAGUGAACCGGGAAAACCUAAAAAUAAUUGGCCUUGAACCGAAACUAAAUUUCCUUUUCCCUCUGAAAGUCUCGAUAUUUUCUUAAGUAUAGCUCAGAGAACUCAAAACAAGCUCUCUUACAUUGUCUCGCUCGAUUCACUCUCUCACUCUCUCACUCGAUUCAAUCUCUCACUCGAUUCAAGCUCUCUUACAAUCUCUCAUAUCAUUCGAUUCAAGCUCUUUGUGUUUACGGGAUCUACUCGAUUGGUGUUGCAUCUCUCUAACUAUAAACGGAAGAUUUCGGCUUAUUUUGUCACGGUCAAAGAGAGCUUACUAUACAAUCUCCUGUUUUCAGGACUCUCAUCGAUGAAGUUCUUCUCCGAUCAAAACCUCUCUUACGCUGAUAUUCUUCUCCCUCACGAAUUCUGACUGAAAUCGAAGCUCGUUGUUUCAGGCUCGUGCUAGAAUCGAAGUCUCUGUUCUUAAUCUCGUACCUAAUUCGAGAUGUUCUGGGUUUUUGAAAAUUUGGGGAAUAAAAUUGAAAAUUCUCGUUGGAACAGAUCAAUAGGAAGAGAAGCAAUAGCUGUAUAAACCAAGGGAUACUCACAGAUGUUUCAUAUAUCUUCCUCUCUACUUCAUUUACUAAGAGUUUUCAAUUUGGGUUUCAAAUUGGGAUUUCGAUUUGGGGAUAAUCGAUUUGGGGAUGAUUGGGGUUUUCAAUUUGGUUCUUAUUCUGUUUCUUUCUAUUUGCAGAGCCAGUGUGGGUGGCUUGAGCUCUAGGUACAAAAACAGUGUGGCUUGAGCUCUGAGUUGCUGAAAAUUCUUGAAGGCUUGUCUCCUAAUGUUCCACUCUACAAAAUGAAUGAAGGGAACGAGCCAUGCUUCUUCACCACUUACUUUUGUUG